GUUGUUAACAGUUGCUUCUCUAGGAAUCUGAGGCCAUUGGCAAUAAACCAAGUAAAUAUUCUAACAGAAAAUAAAAUUGCUGUUUACUACUGAAGCGUUUUUUAUAAAUAGCUCUCUCAGGCUAAAGCAGACGCAGUGGGUGUAUAUGUGUGUCUGUAUGUGUGUUCACACACAAAUGUAGAUGCAGGAUGUCUGUGUGCUCAUUUAAACAAUAUUUUUUACCUUCUGUAUGUUAGCAGUGUAGGUGCUGAGCAUAUACCAGUGAAAAGAAUAGCCACAGAUUAAGCUGAUUAUUACCGUGAGUUAUGUAAGUGCAUGGGCAAAUCCUUCCAUGUUGUGCUGGCAAGGGAGGAGGACUACUCAGGAAAAUAGGGUAAUUUAAUGGACCAAAAAUUAAAAAAAAAAUCAAGAUGCCAUCUAUUUCUACAUAAGGAUGACCUUAUGCAGUGAUGCGCUGGUAAACUAGCUCUCUGGGAGGUGCAGGGAAAGCCCUGAUAUGUAGCAUUUACCAGUUACUGUGAUGUAAAUACCCCCCCCAGGGCUGAUUUCAAACCUCCAACUUGACGUCACUGAAUGAAGCUGAAGGAAGAGAUGUACACCAUUGGCUGUAGCAACCCAGCAUGAGCAGCUCCAGCAUACCACUAACCCUUCGUGUAGGCAGAAGAAGAACAAUGAUUUCUUUCAUUUAUGGAGCUGUUUGAAGUUAACCAGAAGGUCACAUGCUUGGAGCAGAGCAGAGGACAUUUCCUACUUCUACACUCCAGAGGGUUUCGGUCUUGCCAGAAGAAAUUUGAGAGAAGGUCGCAAAGUGGCUGAGGAAUUCACUAACACGACAUGAGGGCACUUUGCACAGGUGGAGAAUGGUAGGUAUAUUGCAGCCGAGCUGGAAUUGGAGUCAAGCCCCUAAUUCUUGUCACAACUUUAUC
rnacentral:lncRNA from 1 species